GAUCGCCUGGAACUGGAGUUAUGGAUGGUUGUUAGCCACCAGGAAGAAGGCAGCUCAGUUUGAUUCUUGGGAUUUUCUGGCUCUCCUCACUGGUUUCAAAGGAUUAUUAUCACAGUGUACAAGAGCAAAGACUUCCCUGUGGUAUGCAGCUGUGGACACUGUUUGCAGAAACCAUGUGCUCGGGGUGUGACCAGGCUUAAAGUACUCACGGUUUGCUUUUGUAAAUAGUCCAGGAUAGAGAACCGAGGAAAGCUGUAGUCUGGAGGCUGACUUAGUCUACCUAAGGCUAGUCAAGGGUAAUCCAACAGGUGCUUAUUAUGUUAGUCAACUGUCUCUCUAAAAAAAUUAAUUGAGUAAUUCAACCUAAAUCCUGUAUUGACUCACAGUUUCAGAUGUUUUAGUCCAUGGCCAUUAGCACCAGUGUUUCUAAGCCUGUGGUGAGGCAGAAUAUCAUGCAGGGAGCAUGUGGUAGAGCAGAGCUACUCACCUUAAGAUGGGAAGGAGGGAGGGAGAGAGGGAAGGAGGGAGGGAGGGAGUUCAGACAAAAUAUGCCCUUAUGGGCAUGUCCCUGGUGACCUUCCAACUAAGCUCUACCUCCUAAAGUUUCCACCAUACCCAGUAGUCCAUUAUGCCAUGAAUCCAUCAAUGAGGUCAGAGCCAAAGGCCCCAUCUCUCAGCACUACUGCACUGGGGGCCACACCUACAAGAUAGGAACUUUGAGGGCUAUUCCUUGUCUGUGCCCAGCACAUAGUUUAACAUGAAAUUUUGGAAGUAUUAUUUUAUCUGAUUCUCCAAGCCACCCUAUGAAGCAGGUGGAGGUCUCCUUCCCCAUUUUAUAGUGGAAAUAAAGUUGCUUUCUCCAUGUCACAUAGCUUAUGGGUCUCAAAGCCAUGAUUGUACUCAGGUUCUCUGAACCCAACCUCAGUGUUAUUGAUAAUGGCGGUCUCCCAGAUAGUCCCUACCACCUGGGGAAGCACCCAUGCACAUAUCAGUGAGUGCUGUAGUGAUCGCUGUUUACUGAGUGCAGAGUGAAGGAGAAACUAAGAGGAGCAUGAUUAAUUUAUUCCUAGCCACACCCUCAGCCCCAAAGGCCAACUCGUCUCCUUAUUUGUGUCAUGUUUCCUCAAAUGGCUUUUGUGGGUGUUCUUCUAAAGUGAACAAUGUUCUAAAAAGGGCUGUCACUCUUCCUCUUUGUAUGCCUCGUUUUGUCUUCCACCAUUCCACCAUUGAGACAUGAAGACACCAGAAUUACUUGUCUUAAAAAAGGUUGUGUGUGUGUGUUCGUGUUAGUACAGGUGCCCCUAGAGGCCAGAAGAGAAUGUUGGCUCCCCUGGAGCUGGGGUUGGUGAUUGUAAGCUGCCUGAUAUGGGUGCUAGGAACUGAACUCAGAUCCUGGUCCCCCUUCCUACUCUGUCUCUGCUUUGUCUGCCUGUAAUAUGGAAAAGAAAUAUGGCCUGAAUAAAAUAACAUUUCAAAAUAGGGUUUUGAGCUGGGCAUAGUGGCCCAUGCUUUAAUACCAGCACUUGGGAGGCAGAAGCAGACAGAUCUCUGUGAGGCAUCCUGGUCUGUAUAAUGAGUUCCAGACCAGCCAGGGCUACACAGUAAAACCCUGUCUCAAAAACAAAAACCAAACAGAGUAGGGUUUCUUAUCUCUAGCACGAUUUUUUUUUUUUUUUUUUUUGAUCUUUUUGAGACAGGGUCUCCCUGUAGUCCCAGCUGACCUGGAUCUCACUAUGUAGACCAGGCUGGCCUUGAACUCAGAGAUCCACCUGCCUCUGCCUCCCGAGUGCUGGGACUAAUGGCAUGGGCCACAAUACCUGGCUCUAUUAGGAUUUUUAAAGCAUAUAGAGGGACAAGACCUCCAAAUUCUCUUCCCAUUCUUGAGUUCAAUAUAAAGAUGUUUGCACGUGAAUCUCAAUUGUUUUCUCAUAGGAGCAUUUUCCUGGACAGGAAGUCAAUACCUUUUAUGAAGGGGAGUAGCCCACAUAUCACAUAUUAUAUGGUAUUUUCCUGGGAAUUCUCAAAUAUUUCACAAGGAAACAAGAUACUCUCAAUUUAAGUCUGGGAAGCAGUCAUGAGGAGUCUGUAUCCUUCUCCUAAUGAUGUCCAAAGUGGGGCCUGGAGUGAUAGGAGAGAUAAAACAAAAAGUAGGAUCACAACCCCAGCCCAAACUGGAUCUUUAAGAAUUACCUGCUUGGGAUUGGAGAGAUGGCUUAGCAGUUAAGAGCACUGGCAUGGUGGCUAACAACCAUCUCCAGUUUCAGGAGAUCCAAUGCCCUCUUCUGUCUUACACCAGCAUUGCAUGACACAGAUGCACUUACACAUAUGCAGGCAAUACACUCAUACACAUAAAAUAAAAAUAAAAUAAAUAACUUUAAAAAAUUUUCCUGCUCAACCUGUGAGACUCUGAAGAGUGUGUGCAUUCAUUUGUGUGUGUGCAUGUGUGUGUGUUUAGGCUAGAGGACAACCUCAGGUGUCAUCCCUCAAAUGCCUUUCACCUUUUAAAACAAU